rnacentral:rRNA from 1 species
GACGGAGGAUGCAAGUGUUAUCCGGAAUCACUGGGCGUAAAGCGUCUGUAGGUGGUUUAAUAAGUCAACUGUUAAAUCUUGAGGCUCAACUUCAAAAUCGCAGUCGAAACUAUUAGACUAGAGUAUAGUAGGGGUAAAGGGAAUUUCCAAGUGGAGCGGUGAAAUGCGUAGAGAUCGGAAAGAACACCAACGGCGAAAGCACUCUGCUGGGCCGACACUGACACUGAGAGACGAAAGCUAGGGGAGCAAAUGGG